rnacentral:ncRNA from 1 species
CACCGCCCGUCACACCACGAGAGUUUACAACACCCGAAGUCGGUGAGGUAACCGCAAGGGGCCAGCCGCCGAAGGUGGGGUAGAUGAUUGGGGUGAAGUCGUAACAAGGUAGCCGUAUCGGAAGGUGCGGCUG